GGAUGCGAUCAUACCAGCACUAAAGCACCGGAUCCCAUCAGAACUCCGAAGUUAAGCGUGCUUGGGCGAGAGUAGUACUAGGAUGGGUGACCUCCUGGGAAGUCCUUGUGUUGCAUUUC
rnacentral:rRNA from 1 species